UAUAAACUGGGAACAAUAUUCCUGCCUCCCUCAGGCUUUCUGUGAGGAUCUGAUGAGACAGUAUCUACAAAGUGCACAGCAAGUAUGUGCUAUGCAAGUAUUGAGUAUUAUCAUCAACAUACGGAUGACUCUCUGGAAGGAAAAUUUCCCAAAGGAUCUGUAACAAGCCUUUUGCCCUCAGAAGCAAAUUGCCCUGCAAAAAGGCUCACAGGGCCAUCAGCCACAUACAAUCAUACCCAAUUCUCCAUAUACUUAGAACACUCUUAAAAACCUGACCAACUUGAUGUGGGGAAAUGAAUCUCACUGUAAUUUUUAUUUCCAUUUCUUUGAAGUAGAACAUAAAAGUUAUUUCAGAUGGC